GUGCCAGCCGCCGCGGUAAUACGGAGGAUGCAAGCGUUAUCCGGAUUCAUUGGGUUUAAAGGGUACGUAGGUGGCUGAUUAAGUCAGUGGUGAAAACCUGCCGCUUAACGGUAGGCGUGCCAUUGAUACUGAUUGGCUUGAGUCCAGUUGAGGUAGGCGGAAUGUGUAGUGUAGCGGUGAAAUGCUUAGAUAUUACACAGAACUCCGAUUGCGAAGGCAGCUUACUAAACUGACACUGACGCUGAGGUAC
rnacentral:rRNA from 1 species